rnacentral:rRNA from 1 species
CAUUAUAUCGCUCCGAGAAAGCUCGAAACACACUCGAAAUGGCAAUAAUAGCAGUACUAACACCAGUAAUAAU